rnacentral:sRNA from 1 species
GUUAGGUCUUCCGGGAUCUUCCAGCCUUUGAAAUGCUCCAGAGCAACCUGGAGAUGGUAGAGCUUUGGUGCCAGGCUAAGGUCAGCAGCUGAAAUGUUCUGCCCGUUGAUAAAGGGUACAUGAGCUUUCAGAUGCUCCUCGAGUGCCUGCAGUUCAGUAAGAAGUGCCUUCUCUGAACCAUCAUUUGGAUCCUUGCUCUUCAAGAACGUUGUGAAGCAUGAGAAAAUUUUUGAUCCCCUGUUAUUACAAGAGGGGUGACAAGAGACGGGGUUGGGUACUUCUCCUCAAUGACUUGAGUGAUCACAUCAGAAUCAGGAAUCCAUUUGCCAUCACCACCGUUAAACACAGGCACCUUCCCCUCUGGGCUGAUCUUCAGAAACCUGAAAGAUCGGGCUUGUUCUGGACGUCGAUGAGCUUCAUCUCGUAGGGCACCUUCUUCUCCUCCAGAGUCAGCAGCACCCUCUGCGAGAAUGGAC